rnacentral:sRNA from 1 species
GCUAGGUGCAGUGGCGCACGCCUGUAAUCCCAGCGGCUCAGGAGGCUGAGGCGGGAGAAUUGUGAAUUCAAAGCCAGCCUCAGUAAGAGCGAGGCACUAAGCAACUCAGCAGGACCCUGUCUCUC